AGUAACAGGUGGCGCUGGGGAGGCAGGAUCGGUGGUUGGGUGGCUGGCUGCAGUGUUUUGGUCAGUACUGGUCAGUCUUGCCCCACACUUUCUAUUAAUCAGUGUUUCCGUAUUCCCGGCAGCUUCUCCCUGCACCGAGCACCGCCAAGCAGCACCAGAGUGGCACGAGUACAUAAGGCUGCGCGGGUGUCUCCGGCAGCCUACAGUAUGUGUACACACACAGACAGACAUCUCUGAAGGAAGAAAAUGCUGUGUGGUGGACAAAAUUAUAAGACAAUAAGAAAAUAAAGGCACAAGACUUAGAA